UACGAAGGGGGCUAGCGUUGUUCGGAAUUACUGGGCGUAAAGCGCGCGCAGGCGGCUAUCCAAGUCAGUGGUGAAAGCCCGGAGCUCAACUCCGGAACUGCCAUUGAAACUGUUUAGCUUGAGGAUGAGAGAGGUGAGUGGAAUUCCCAGUGUAGAGGUGAAAUUCGUAGAUAUUGGGAAGAACACCGGUGGCGAAGGCGGCUCACUGGCCCGUUACUGACGCUCAGGCGCGACAGCGUGGGGAUCAAACAGG
rnacentral:rRNA from 1 species